CGGAUUUUAUUUUAUUUCCCUUUUUUUUUAUCUUUUGUCUUGCAUAUGGAAUGCUGAUGUUAAACAGUUAUUGGAGUUUGACGAGUCAAAAAUAGCCAACUCAGCUAAAGAAGAGAGUGAUCCCAAAUCUAGCAAAAAGGUGGAAUAAACUUGCAUACCAUAACUCUUUGGAGUUGAAAUAUUGGAGUUGAAGAAGGAAUAGUCAUUUUCUGGGAGCCCCAGUUACCUGUAAUGCUAGAUUAUUCAGCAGCAUACAUUUGUAAAAGAUUUGUGAUUGAGAAAUAUAUCACUAGUCCCAUUUUUCAACUCAAGUAUUUUUCUAUCA